GACGAACGCUGGCGGCGUGCCUAAUACAUGCAAGUCGAACGAACUCUGGUAUUGAUUGGUGCUUGCAUCAUGAUUUACAUUUGAGUGAGUGGCGAACUGGUGAGUAACACGUGGGAAACCUGCCCAGAAGCGGGGGAUAACACCUGGAAACAGAUGCUAAUACCGCAUAACAACUUGGACCGCAUGGUCCGAGUUUGAAAGAUGGCUUCGGCUAUCACUUUUGGAUGGUCCCGCGGCGUAUUAGCUAGAUGGUGGGGUAACGGCUCACCAUGGCAAUGAUACGUAGCCGACCUGAGAGGGUAAUCGGCCACAUUGGGACUGAGACACGGCCCAAACUCCUACGGGAGGCAGCAGUAGGGAAUCUUCCACAAUGGACGAAAGUCUGAUGGAGCAACGCCGCGUGAGUGAAGAAGGGUUUCGGCUCGUAAAACUCUGUUGUUAAAGAAGAACAUAUCUGAGAGUAACUGUUCAGGUAUUGACGGUAUUUAACCAGAAAGCCACGGCUAACUACGUGCCAGCAGCCGCGGUAAUACGUAGGUGGCAAGCGUUGUCCGGAUUUAUUGGGCGUAAAGCGAGCGCAGGCGGUUUUUUAAGUCUGAUGUGAAAGCCUUCGGCUCAACCGAAGAAGUGCAUCGGAAACUGGGAAACUUGAGUGCAGAAGAGGACAGUGGAACUCCAUGUGUAGCGGUGAAAUGCGUAGAUAUAUGGAAGAACACCAGUGGCGAAGGCGGCUGUCUGGUCUGUAACUGACGCUGAGGCUCGAAAGUAUGGGUAGCAAACAGGAUUAGAUACCCUGGUAGUCCAUACCGUAAACGAUGAAUGCUAAGUGUUGGAGGGUUUCCGCCCUUCAGUGCUGCAGCUAACGCAUUAAGCAUUCCGCCUGGGGAGUACGGCCGCAAGGCUGAAACUCAAAGGAAUUGACGGGGGCCCGCACAAGCGGUGGAGCAUGUGGUUUAAUUCGAAGCUACGCGAAGAACCUUACCAGGUCUUGACAUACUAUGCAAAUCUAAGAGAUUAGACGUUCCCUUCGGGGACAUGGAUACAGGUGGUGCAUGGUUGUCGUCAGCUCGUGUCGUGAGAUGUUGGGUUAAGUCCCGCAACGAGCGCAACCCUUAUUAUCAGUUGCCAGCAUUAAGUUGGGCACUCUGGUGAGACUGCCGGUGACAAACCGGAGGAAGGUGGGGAUGACGUCAAAUCAUCAUGCCCCUUAUGACCUGGGCUACACACGUGCUACAAUGGAUGGUACAACGAGUUGCGAACUCGCGAGAGUAAGCUAAUCUCUUAAAGCCAUUCUCAGUUCGGAUUGUAGGCUGCAACUCGCCUACAUGAAGUCGGAAUCGCUAGUAAUCGCGGAUCAGCAUGCCGCGGUGGAAUACGUUCCCGGGCCUUGUACACACCGCCCGUCACACCAUGAGAGUUUGUAACACCCAAAGUCGGUGGGGUAACCUUUUAGGAACCAGCCGCCUAAGGUGGGACAGAUGAUUAGGGUG
rnacentral:rRNA from 1 species